UACGGGGGGAGCAAGCGUUGUUCGGAUUUACUGGGCGUAAAGGGCGCGUAGGCGGCGCAACAAGUCACUUGUGAAAUCUCCGGGCUUAACUCGGAACGGUCAACUGAUACUGCGCGGCUAGAGUGCAGAAGGGGCAACUGGAAUUCUCGGUGUAGCGGUGAAAUGCGUAGAUAUCGAGAGGAACACCUGCGGCGAAGGCGGGUUGCUGGGCUGACACUGACGCUGAAGCGCGAAAGCUAGGGGAGCGAACGGG
rnacentral:rRNA from 1 species